rnacentral:lncRNA from 1 species
AAGAUGAGUGAUGAAAAAUUGAACAGAAAUUUAUUCAGCAAGAAUAAAAAUAGAUAGAAAGAUAGAUAGACAGAUUAUAGCUAGGAAAGGGUCCUAAAAGUAGCAAGCCCAUGGUGCUUGAAAUUUUUCGGCCAUCAGAUCCAGAUCCAUGAGAGAGUGCUUUGAGAUCUGAUGAGCAUCAAUAUGUGCUCACAAAUAGAUGCUCCUCUGAAUCUUUCCACUAAGAAUAGAAUGGCCAAAUAGUUGCGAGCACAAAGGGCCUUGUAUCUACGUAAUCAAUCAUAUAUAAUUACAGUAGAUGUGGUCUGAAAAGUAUAAGAAAUGAAUUUUGCAUACAUUACAAUUUCUGUGAGAGUCGUAGUGUUUUGAAAAGAAGAGGAACCUCCUCCAGUAAACAAAAUGCCUGUAGAUUCGUCUUCACGAGCACUGAUGCAACAAGCAAGCUGGAUUAUCUCAACCACCAAAACUAAUGCAUGCACGAUGAAGACAUUAGCGAAUGUAAGACCAUGUCUUGAAACUUUGACGUAUGUAGUGACCGACUUAUUAAGCAAUUUUUGUUUGGUAUAGUAAUUUGUAAUUUUCCAUUGCAGAUUAUCAUGCAUCUGAUAGCAUGUUAUUGUCAACUGUUAGCAUUACAAUGCAUUAUGGGUUGCAGGGUAAUCUUAUAUGCAAUAUAAGACAGAACUCAAAAGUACAUGGAAAAUAUAGCACCAAGAGACUCACCUUGUUCAUUCUCCAAACCAACUGAUGAAACCUGAAGCUAAUUCACUUCCUUCUGUUGUUGCAGAUGAAUCCUCAUAAUCCUUUUACAGAAGAUCUUUAUGAUAAAGCUCUACUAUUUCUUAUCCUAGAUAAGAAGGAAGCUCUGUUUCCUGUGUGUUCUGAUAUGUGGUGCGAUGAAGGAAACUGUGCACUCCAUAUAUCGACAUAUAUACUGUACCUGUUGAGGCUGAGUAGCACAGGCCAGAUACAGUAGUGAAAGAAAACUCAAAUUAUUUUUUUUGAUUAAACAGGGAUGAACCCUAUUUCGGAGACAGAAACAUCGAGAUCAAGCCCUAGCCAAACAAAAGCUAAGCACAUCAAAAGCCAAACGGAGGCCACAAAGACCAGCCAUCCGCAAGGCCUUUGAACAUGUUGUAAUGUUUGGAAUCAUUUAGAAAUCGAAAAUAUUGCCAGGUCAUGGGUAGGGGGAAAUUGGUUAGGAUAAACUCCAAUCGAAUCCGACAGCACAUUCGAUAGGAUGCGAAUAUUGAUGUCAAAAUUUAAUGUUCGACACAUUUUCAUAUCUGAAUUUACAUCCGAAAAAAAAAAAAAAAGAAAUAUGAAUGAGAAUAUGGUUUCUUCAUUUAUCGUUGUUUUUCACCCCUUAGUAAUUA